CUAUACAAGAACGGUUUUUCUUCCAAAUUAAAUGCAUAUUACGAACGAUCUUCGUUCCGAUUUCAAUAUCCGUCCGAAAAUAAGGGUGACGAAAACCGAAUGCGACGGGACGCGCCGCACGUGUCCUACGAUUACCAGUGUAAAAUUAAUUCCGGGAAAAAAAAAAUCGAAUAUUUUUCGCUGUAACGAGCGCGUCGGCGGCGGAUCCAUAGGAGGUCCGGGU